AUAUACAUUUGAUGAUUAUUGUAUAUUAUUUCUAUAUUUUUUUGAUAUAAAAAGUAUUGUAUGUUUCAUGAAUACACAAACAUCAAGAAGGUGCCAACCCAUGCACAAAAAUAUUUAUGUUCAUCAGAUAUAAAUAUGAUCUCCAAAAUUCUCCAUAAAAUAAAGAUGAACACCCAUAAUUAAAAAACUCAAAAUUUGAAACCAUCUAUCUCUAACUCUAUCAAAAUCAUCUUCCACCCUUCAAAAUCUCUCUUUUUGUUUUCCCACACCACCCAAAAUAUAACAAGGGGAAUAAGACUCACAUGUUUCUUUCCAG
rnacentral:lncRNA from 1 species